GGAGCGGUGCCUGAGUGGCCGAAAGGGCUUCACUGCUAAUGAAGUGAACGGGAAACAACUCGUUCCGUGGGUUCGACUCCCACUCGCUCCG
rnacentral:tRNA from 1 species